GGGUUGUGAGGUUAAGCGACUAAGCGUACACGGUGGAUGCCCUGGCAGUCAGAGGCGAUGAAGGACGUGCUAAUCUGCGAUAAGCGUCGGUAAGGUGAUAUGAACCGUUAUAACCGGCGAUUUCCGAAUGGGGAAACCCAGUGUGUUUCGACACACUAUCAUUAACUGAAUCCAUAGGUUAAUGAGGCGAACCGGGGGAACUGAAACAUCUAAGUACCCCGAGGAAAAGAAAUCAACCGAGAUUCCCCCAGUAGCGGCGAGCGAACGGGGAGCAGCCCAGAGCCUGAAUCAGUGUGUGUGUUAGUGGAAGCGUCUGGAAAGGCGCGCGAUACAGGGUGACAGCCCCGUACACAAAAAUGCACAUGCUGUGAGCUCGAUGAGUAGGGCGGGACACGUGGUAUCCUGUCUGAAUAUGGGGGGACCAUCCUCCAAGGCUAAAUACUCCUGACUGACCGAUAGUGAACCAGUACCGUGAGGGAAAGGCGAAAAGAACCCCGGCGAGGGGAGUGAAAAAGAACCUGAAACCGUGUACGUACAAGCAGUGGGAGCACGCUUAGGCGUGUGACUGCGUACCUUUUGUAUAAUGGGUCAGCGACUUAUAUUCUGUAGCAAGGUUAACCGAAUAGGGGAGCCGAAGGGAAACCGAGUCUUAACUGGGCGUUAAGUUGCAGGGUAUAGACCCGAAACCCGGUGAUCUAGCCAUGGGCAGGUUGAAGGUUGGGUAACACUAACUGGAGGACCGAACCGACUAAUGUUGAAAAAUUAGCGGAUGACUUGUGGCUGGGGGUGAAAGGCCAAUCAAACCGGGAGAUAGCUGGUUCUCCCCGAAAGCUAUUUAGGUAGCGCCUCGUGAAUUCAUCUCCGGGGGUAGAGCACUGUUUCGGCAAGGGGGUCAUCCCGACUUACCAACCCGAUGCAAACUGCGAAUACCGGAGAAUGUUAUCACGGGAGACACACGGCGGGUGCUAACGUCCGUCGUGAAGAGGGAAACAACCCAGACCGCCAGCUAAGGUCCCAAAGUCAUGGUUAAGUGGGAAACGAUGUGGGAAGGCCCAGACAGCCAGGAUGUUGGCUUAGAAGCAGCCAUCAUUUAAAGAAAGCGUAAUAGCUCACUGGUCGAGUCGGCCUGCGCGGAAGAUGUAACGGGGCUAAACCAUGCACCGAAGCUGCGGCAGCGACGCUUAUGCGUUGUUGGGUAGGGGAGCGUUCUGUAAGCCUGUGAAGGUGUACUGUGAGGUAUGCUGGAGGUAUCAGAAGUGCGAAUGCUGACAUAAGUAACGAUAAAGCGGGUGAAAAGCCCGCUCGCCGGAAGACCAAGGGUUCCUGUCCAACGUUAAUCGGGGCAGGGUGAGUCGACCCCUAAGGCGAGGCCGAAAGGCGUAGUCGAUGGGAAACAGGUUAAUAUUCCUGUACUUGGUGUUACUGCGAAGGGGGGACGGAGAAGGCUAUGUUGGCCGGGCGACGGUUGUCCCGGUUUAAGCGUGUAGGCUGGUUUUCCAGGCAAAUCCGGAAAAUCAAGGCUGAGGCGUGAUGACGAGGCACUACGGUGCUGAAGCAACAAAUGCCCUGCUUCCAGGAAAAGCCUCUAAGCAUCAGGUAACAUCAAAUCGUACCCCAAACCGACACAGGUGGUCAGGUAGAGAAUACCAAGGCGCUUGAGAGAACUCGGGUGAAGGAACUAGGCAAAAUGGUGCCGUAACUUCGGGAGAAGGCACGCUGAUAUGUAGGUGAAGCGACUUGCUCGUGGAGCUGAAAUCAGUCGAAGAUACCAGCUGGCUGCAACUGUUUAUUAAAAACACAGCACUGUGCAAACACGAAAGUGGACGUAUACGGUGUGACGCCUGCCCGGUGCCGGAAGGUUAAUUGAUGGGGUCAGCGCAAGCGAAGCUCUUGAUCGAAGCCCCGGUAAACGGCGGCCGUAACUAUAACGGUCCUAAGGUAGCGAAAUUCCUUGUCGGGUAAGUUCCGACCUGCACGAAUGGCGUAAUGAUGGCCAGGCUGUCUCCACCCGAGACUCAGUGAAAUUGAACUCGCUGUGAAGAUGCAGUGUACCCGCGGCAAGACGGAAAGACCCCGUGAACCUUUACUAUAGCUUGACACUGAACAUUGAGCCUUGAUGUGUAGGAUAGGUGGGAGGCUUUGAAGUGUGGACGCCAGUCUGCAUGGAGCCGACCUUGAAAUACCACCCUUUAAUGUUUGAUGUUCUAACGUUGACCCGUAAUCCGGGUUGCGGACAGUGUCUGGUGGGUAGUUUGACUGGGGCGGUCUCCUCCUAAAGAGUAACGGAGGAGCACGAAGGUUGGCUAAUCCUGGUCGGACAUCAGGAGGUUAGUGCAAUGGCAUAAGCCAGCUUGACUGCGAGCGUGACGGCGCGAGCAGGUGCGAAAGCAGGUCAUAGUGAUCCGGUGGUUCUGAAUGGAAGGGCCAUCGCUCAACGGAUAAAAGGUACUCCGGGGAUAACAGGCUGAUACCGCCCAAGAGUUCAUAUCGACGGCGGUGUUUGGCACCUCGAUGUCGGCUCAUCACAUCCUGGGGCUGAAGUAGGUCCCAAGGGUAUGGCUGUUCGCCAUUUAAAGUGGUACGCGAGCUGGGUUUAGAACGUCGUGAGACAGUUCGGUCCCUAUCUGCCGUGGGCGCUGGAGAACUGAGGGGGGCUGCUCCUAGUACGAGAGGACCGGAGUGGACGCAUCACUGGUGUUCGGGUUGUCAUGCCAAUGGCACUGCCCGGUAGCUAAAUGCGGAAGAGAUAAGUGCUGAAAGCAUCUAAGCACGAAACUUGCCCCGAGAUGAGUUCUCCCUGACUCCUUGAGAGUCCUGAAGGAACGUUGAAGACGACGACGUUGAUAGGCCGGGUGUGUAAGCGCAGCGAUGCGUUGAGCUAACCGGUACUAAUGAACCGUGAGGCUUAACCUUACAACGCCGAAG
rnacentral:rRNA from 1 species